CCUACGGGAGGCAGCAGUGAGGAAUAUUGGUCAAUGGGCGCAAGCCUGAACCAGCCAAGUCGCGUGAGGGAAGAAGGUCCUAUGGUUUGUAAACUUCUUUUGUAGGGGAGUAAAGGUAUCCACGUGUGGAUAUCUGCAUGUACCCUAUGAACAAGCAUCGGCUAACUCCGUGCCAACAGCCGCGGGAAUACGGAGGAUGCGAUCGUUAUCCGGAUUUAUUGGGUUUAAAGGGUGCGUCGGGUGUAUGUUAAGUCAGCGGGUAAAUUUUGUGGCUCAACCAGUUAAUAGCCGUUGAAACUGGAAGACUUGAGUGUGUGAGAGGUAGGCGGAAUGCGUGGUGUAGCGGUGAAAUGCAUAGAUAUCACGCAGAACUCCGAUUGCGAAGGCAGCAUACUGGCACAUAACUGACGCUGAUGCACGAAAGCGUGGGGAUCGAACAGGAUUAGAUACCCCGGUAGUC
rnacentral:rRNA from 1 species